GAUAAACGCUGGCGGCGCACAUAAGACAUGCAAGUUGAACGGACUUAAUCGAAAUAUUUAUCUUUUGAAGCGGUUAGUGGCGGACUGGUGAGUAACGCGUAAGGAACCUGCCUAUUAGAGGGGAAUAACAGUGAGAAAUCAUUGCUAAUACCGCAUAUGCCAUAGAUAUCACAUGAUAACAGUGGGAAAGGAGCAAUCCGCUAAUAGAUGGCCUUGCGUCUGAUUAGAUAGUUGGUGGGGUAACGGCCUACCAAGUCGACGAUCAGUAGCCGGACUGAGAGGUUGCACGGCCACAUUGGGACUGAGAUACGGCCCAGACUCCUACGGGAGGCAGCAGUCGGGAAUAUUGCGCAAUGGAGGAAACUCUGACGCAGUGACGCCGCGUAGAGGAAGAAGGUUUUCGGAUUGUAAACUAUUGUCGUUAGGGAAGAGAAAGGACAGUACCUAAGGAGGAAGCUCCGGCUAACUACGUG
rnacentral:rRNA from 1 species